AGAAGGUGAAGUUCAAAGACAAAGUGAAAUCACGAGGCAAGCAGGGUUUCAGAAGCCUGGAGGAGCAGAGGGGAGAUCCUAAACUUUCACACAUCAUCCUGCCCUGCAACACCACUGGCCAGCAGCCCACUGUAGUGGCCACUCACCAGGUUCUCUGGAUUCCUCACUGAACCUGCCCUUUGUUUUGCCUUUUCACUGGGAAAAUUCUUACAGUCUAGUUCAGAAAUUUUGAAGAAUUCUUUGAAGAAUCGAGAUUGUUAAAAGCAGAUGUCACAACUGUCUUGAGCAUAGCAAGAAGGAGGAAAAGGAGCUCUCCUGAGAAGUCUGACAGUUUGCCACAAAGAAAUUGGUAUGAAAGCUGUGAGCCUCAAGUUCCCACAGAGAUGCACCAUCUUGUGAGAAAUAAUACAAGUCCAGCGCGCAAUGACAAAUGUAAGCCUGGACUGGGUUGCUGAAGAAGUAGAAGACAAUAAGAGGACAAAUUAGGUAAGAGAAAGCCCUCUGACCUUUUGAAAGAAACAGCUAUCACUUCCAGAAGCAUCCUGCUUUUUUGUCAAGUUUCAAGUAAAACACUGAAUACAGGUACAGUGUCGCUUGAAGAAACACAAAUAAGGAAUACUUGCAGAGUAACUUAA
rnacentral:lncRNA from 12 species